rnacentral:rRNA from 1 species
UUGUGCCUACGGGGGGCAGCAGUCGGGAAUAUUGCGCAAUGGAGGAAACUCUGACGCAGUGACGCCGCGUGCAGGAAGAAGGUUUUCGGAUUGUAAACUGCUUUAGACAGGGAAGAAAAAAGACAGUACCUGUAGAAUAAGCUCCGGCUAACUACGUGCCAGCAGCCGCGGUAAUACGUAGGGAGCGAGCGUUAUCCGGAUUUAUUGGGUGUAAAGGGCGUGUAGGCGGAGCUGCAAGUCAGAUGUGAAAUCCCGGGGCUCAACCCCGGAACUGCAUUUGAAACUGUAGCCCUUGAGUAUCGGAG